UAGCAAGUCGUCCAAAGGCGAAAGCAGUUGUCAAGGGCAUACUCGUUGAUCAAGAGCGAAAGUUAAGGGUUCGAAGACGAUCAGAUACCGUCGUAGUCUUAACUAUAAAUGAUACUGACCAGGGAUAGGACUCUGUCCAUCUCGACUUCUUCUGGACCUUGGAGAAAUUACAGUCUUUGAGUUCUGGGGGGAGUAUGGUCGCAAGGCUGAAACUUAAAGGAAUUGACGGAAGGGCACACAAAGAGUGGAACCUGCGGCUUAAUUUGACUCAACACGGGAAAACUCACCAGGUCCAGAUACACGUAUGAAAGACAAGCUGAAAGACUUUUCUCAAUGAUGUAAGUGGUGGUGCAUGGUCGUUCUUAGUUCGUGGAUUGAUUUGUCUGGUCUAUUCCGAUAACGAGCGAGACCCCUUCGUUCCUAAUAGAGGCGGUAGCCCGGCUUUACGAGCGAUCGUUCUGCUAGCAACCGUCAUUAUUACUUCUUAGACGUAUCAGAGCCGAUAAGGUUCUUGAAAUGGGUUAAUAACAGGUCAGUCAUGCCCUUAGAUGUUCUGGGCCGCACGCGCGUUACAAUGGUACACAUAGAAAGUGCUUUAUACGAGCUUCUCCGUGGUCUAAUGAUCGUGGUAAUCCUUAGUCUUUUCCUUGACUGGGCCAGACUAUUGCAAUUAUUGGYCUCUAACGAGGAAUUUUUAGUAGUCGCAGGUCAUUAACCUGCGACG
rnacentral:rRNA from 1 species